GCACUCACUUCAGCAGCAUAUAGGAGAAAACUGAAAUGAAUCAGAGAAGAUUAGCAUGGCUCCCUGCACAAGGAUGACAUGCAAACCCUCUAGAAAGUGUAGUAUGAUUCU